ACACACACACAGCCUGUUAUAGUACACACACACACACACACACACACACACACACACACACACACAGAGCCUGUUAUAGUACACACACACACACACACACAGAGCCUGUUAUAGUACACACACAAACACACACACACACACAGCCUGUUAUAGUACACACACACACACACACACACACACACACACACACACACACACAGAGCCUGUUAUAGUACACACACAAACACACACACACACACACACACACACACAGCCUGUUAUAGUACACACACACACACAGAGCCUGUUAUAGUACACACACACACACACACACACACACACAGAGCCUGUUAUAGUACUGCUACACGCACACACACGAUCAGCAUCCCUAGACCCCAAAACCAACCGUCGCGCACACCCCAAACGUGUGAUCACGUUUAGAGUGUAAAUGAAUCUAGAUGAUAUUUACCUUGGUGCCCCUGCGCAUCAGCCCAGUUCAACCCGUGCGGUUUCUCGUAGCACUUGGCGCGCGGAUUCCUCAAACAUUACAACUUUCCUCAACUGUCAGCUAUCCUGAAACCUUUGAAGUUUGUAGAGCUCUGAAAGAGUACAUUUUAAGUGGAACAUUUACUCCACCAUGCAACAAAAAAAUGCGCAAGGAAAUGCGGCGUGUGUCUGAAAACUUCAUAGCAAAAGACAACCGAUUGUUUUACACUGGACCAAAUAAAACGUAUAUGAGACUAGUUGUUUGUACUGAGGAGGAAAAAAGGUCUGUUUUGAUGGAGUGCCAUAACUCCGGCACCGGCAACCACAACGGUGUACGAGGCACGAGAGACAGGGUGAUUGCUGGAUACUUCUGGCCUACCCUAAUGAAAGAUGUAACUGAGUGGGUGAAGUGUUGUCGCCGCUGCCAACUAAAUGACCCCAUGAAGACGGGGACACCAGUGUUACAUUCUAUUAAGGUAUUCCAAAUUCUGUUUUGUUUAAUAGAGAAAAUAAAUGUUUUGAAAGGUAAUGGAAAAUAUGUGUUUAGGUGAAGGCUGCAUGGGAGGUGAUUGGCCUGGAUUUAAUUGGCCCACUGCGAGAAACUGGUCAAAAAAACAAGUAUGUGUUGACCAUGACUGAUUUAUAUACAAAGUGGGUUGUUGCUGAGCCACUGCAAAAUAAGACUGCAACUGAAGUGUCAGCAGCCAUCAUAAAGACACUCUACUUGUUCGGCAUGGUCAAGAAAAUUAUUACUGACCAAGGGAGAGAGUUCGUUAAUGAGCUGAAUGAAAACAUCUUUGCAACUCUGAAAAUCAAACAUGCUGUCUCAAGUGCCUACCACCCUCAGACAAAUGGGCAGGUAAUUUUCAACAUAAUUUUAUUUGACAUUUCCCUGUAAUGUUAAAAAAAAUUAGGAAAUGUUUUAAUUGUUGUUGUUUUUUAUAUAUAUAUAGGAUGAGCGAACAAAUCAAAAUGUCAAACGUGUAUUGCGGAAGUAUGUAAAUGAAAGCCAUAAUGAUUGGGACAUCCAUUUACCUGCAGUUGUGUAUGGUAUUAACACUGCUAAGCAAGUGGGUAUUCAUUAUACAUUCAUUAUGGUCGAUAUAUAAUGUAAUCGAUAUAUAAUGUUUUAUUUCUGAUAACUUAAUUUGUUUUUAACCAGUCUUCAACCAGGCACACCCCGUAUUUCUUAUUCUUCCAUCGGCACCCUCAUUUGCCAGAGGUUAUGAACGCCUGUCCCAUGGGAGAAGACUUUAAAAUUGCUGACCCAGAAGAUGAUCUUGACACCCGAGUAAAUGAAAUGAAAAUUUUAAAUGAGAAGGUUAGGUCCAAAUUCAUGUAGUCUGACCACAGAAGUUUUUUUUAAUUCAAUGGCAUGUAGUAAAGUGUAAUUUUUUUUUUUCAGGUGCUUAGCAACAUUGAAAAUGCGCAGAAAAGACAACAAAAGUCUUACAGGAACCGUAAGAGAAAGCUAAUGAGCACAAUCAGUCCUGGCACCCUUGCUGACCGCCACAAAGGUCCUUUCACUGUGGAUAGUAUCUCUAAAAAGGGUGUGGCAUCAGUGGUGAAAGAUAAUGGGACUCGAUGUUGCAUCAAUGUCUCACGGCUAAGGCCUUUCUACAGGUUGGAAAGUAAGAGCUAAGUAGUGUUUUUUUUGUAAUGGUUGACAUGUAAGGUGUAUAUUGUAAAGUUUAUUUUAUUAAUAUUAGACUUAAUUUUUUUUAUUGUCUCUUCAGAUCAUGGAGCAGUUCCAUGUGUGUCACUUCAGGACCAUGAGUAUGGUACACCUGAUGAAGCAACAGACCAUCCUUAUGCUUUUUCUGGAGAGAAAUGGGAAAAAGACUUGGGUCCUCUCCAGGAAAAACUGGUAGGGGAUGAUUCCACCUAGCCCAUUCCAAAUUUCACUCUC